rnacentral:rRNA from 1 species
ACUCUGAUCCAGCCAUGCCGCGUGUGUGAAGAAGGCCUUUUGGUUGUAAAGCACUUUAAGCGAGGAGGAGGCUUACCUGGUUAAUACCUGGGAUAAGUGGACGUUACUCGCAGAAUAAGCACCGGCUAACUCUGUGCCAGCAGCCGCGGUAAUACAGAGGGUGCAAGCGUUAAUCGGAUUUACUGGGCGUAAAGCGCGCGUAGGUGGCUAAUUAAGUCAAAUGUGAAAUCCCCGAGCUUAACUUGGGAAUUGCAUUCGAUACUGGUUAGCUAGAGUAUGGGAGAGGAUGGUAGAAUUCCAGGUGUAGCGGUGAGAUGCGUAGAGAUCUGGAGGAAUACCGAUGGCGAAGGCAGCCAUCUGGCCUAAUACUGACACUGAGGUGCGAAAGCAUGGGGAGCAAACAGGAUUAGAUACCCUGGUAGUCCAUGCCGUAAACGAUGUCUACUAGCCGUUGGGGCCCUUGAGGCUUUAGUGGCGCAGCUAACGCGAUAAGUAGACCGCCUGGGGAGU